rnacentral:rRNA from 1 species
CCUACGGGAGGCAGCAGUGGGGAAUAUUGCACAAUGGGGGAAACCCUGAUGCAGCGACGCCGCGUGAGUGAUGAAGUAUUUCGGUAUGUAAAGCUCUAUCAGCAGGGAAGAAAAUGACGGUACCUGAUUAAGAAGCUCCGGCUCACUACGUUCCAGCAGCCGCGGUAAUACGUAGGGGGCAAGCGUUAUCCGGAUUUACUGGGUGUAAAGGGAGCGUAGACGGCUGGACGAGUCUGGAGUGAAAUGCCGGGGCUUAACCCCGGAACUGCUUUGGAAACUGUGCGGCUUGAGUGCAGGAGAGGUGAGUGGAAUUCCUGGUGUAGCGGUGAAAUGCGUAGAUAUUGGGAGGAACACCAGUGGCGAAGGCAGCUUACUGGACUGUAACUGACGUUGAGGCGCGAAAGCGUGGGGAGCGAACAGGAUUAGAUACCCGUGUAGUC